GUCGAGGAAACGACACGAACAUAUGUGCUGCGAUCGCGUAUACGAGCCUGCAUUAUCAUGUCGACAUUCGCGGUGUGAUGUGAUUCAUAGCUCCUCGGAUCAUCGUGUUUUAAAGACACACUUAUAUAUACAUAUACCUACGCAAGCGCAGUGCAGUGGUGUGUGCUAUUUCUCUCUCCCUCUCUCUCUCGGCGAAGAGACGAGAACUAAGAAGAUAAUAAGCACAUCAGGAACAUCGCGGAGGAAGAAUGACGUAGAGAAUCAUUCUCUACGGUCAACUGUAGUAUUAUCAAAUCAAGUCCAGCCGCAUAGAAGAAACAGGCAUAGGCACGCAUAGAUAUAUCUAUAUACAUACGUGCAUUCCUAUUUCCCAGUCAGCAGCGGGUAUAGUGUCCGGGAAUCACGCGAGGUGUCGGUUGCUGUUUGUGUGUUUUCGUCUCUCGGCUUUCUCUCUCGCUCCGUCUCUGUCUCUCAUUCCGCUCCUCCCCUCAUCGUCAUCUGCGCCUCUGUCAGUGUAGGUAUUAUCGUCGUCGCGAGCCUACCACGGGAGUAGGCAGCUUUUCCAGGAGGAGGACGUCGACGUAGACAUGGGCGACGGCAAGGAGAACGAGCGUCAACCGCUGCUCAAGAACGAAAAUGUCAACUACAGCAGCAGCGAAGUGGCAGGAGCAGAAGCACAGCAGCAAGUUAAUACGGUUGCUCCAAUUGGUCCUGAUGAAUUGCCACCAUCGUAUCAAGCUAGUCAAGGUAGUAUGCACAUGGUUACCUGCCGAGUAUGUCAAGCUAUGAUUGACAUAUCUGGCAAGAGAGAUCAGCACGUUGUCAAGUGCAGUCAAUGCAAUGAAGCUACUCCGAUCAAGAAUGCUCCUCCUGGUAAGAAGUAUGUGCGUUGUCCAUGCAAUUGCCUGCUCAUAUGCAAAAGUUCAUCACAGAGGAUUGCCUGCCCAAGGCCUAAUUGUAAAAGAAUUAUUAAUCUGGCACCAAGUCCGGUGACACCACCAGUCUUGUCAAUGCCUGGAAUGUGUCGAGUCUGCUGUGCUCAUUGCCAUGAUACAUUUUUGUUUAAUACAUUGAACAAUGCUUUGGCUCGUUGUCCACAUUGUCGAAAAGUCUCAUCUGUUGGACCAGAUUUUGCAAGGGGACGUGGAAUCCUUUUUAUUAUUCUUGGAGUUAUCUGUUUAGUCCUUGGUAUUGCUGUAACGGUUGGAACAUAUGCACUUGUAAAAGCAAAUGGAGGAAUUUAUGUUGCUUAUGUUGGUGCAUUCCUUUUAGCGCUUCUUUUCCUUGGAAGAAGCCUCUAUUAUUGUACAAUGAAGAUUAGUCUCAUAGAGGGUCCCAUGUAGUUUUAUUAGAAAUGUCGAAGGCUGUUAAAUCGCAGAAUAAUUUUUAUCAUUAUAAUUGCAUAAUCGAUUUAGAUAAGUUUACACGAUUGAACAUGCUGCUUCUUCGAUUCCUUAAGAUUUAGUAAAUAUUUGAAUUUUUCUCAAGAUUUCUUUUUAAUGAAUGAACUAUAUAAAAUCAAGCCAUCGUUCCGACUGAACAGGCUCUGAAAUCGAAGUAGACAUUCAAUUUCUUAUCGAUGUAACUUUAGAUGACACUCGAACUAUAAAGCGAGGCUACAAUGAACAAAAUAAAAAGGAAAAAACAGUUGGAACUCGGCACCCGACGUGUGAUCCUUUAAUGCAUUAAAAUGUACAAAUCUACACUUUUUGUUCGCUUACUUACAACGUAUUCAGCAAUUCACGAUUUAAAGAAGACAUUAUCAAAAUUAUUUUCUGCAUCAAAUAUCAAUUGCAUACUAAAAACGUAAUAUAUUAGUGAUGUUUUUCUUUUUUUUUAAGAUUCGAGUACAUUUUGAUUAUUUCUUUUUUAAAUCUAUUAAGAAGAAUCGAUUAGAACCAAAAAUUGUAUAUUUGAAAGUUUCACGCCUGAGCGCAAUAUAUAUGUAUGCGAACGAGUAUAUAAAGUGAAAGAUAUACCGCAUGUUAAAGUACGGAUAACAGAGGAGAUUGAAUGAGAAAAAAAAGCUCUUCCACGUGAUCGCGAAACUGUGACGCGAUCUUAGACAGAGGACAGAGUUGCACUGAAAUUAUGUAGCCAAUUUUUUUAUAUUUUUAUUGUUUAAUUUAUACGUAAAAGUAUCUCUCUUCUUAACAUUUUCAUUUGAAAUUAUUUGAAAAAUGCUUUUGGGUAUUGAGAUAAUAUUUUCAGUAAAAAUUAUAAAGAAAAAAAUAAAUAAACGCGUAAUUUUUUAAUUUAUUUUCUUAACUAUUCCAAUUGUACAUUUGCUAUUCUUUAUUAUUGCAGUACCGAGGAUCUAUUUUUCAGAAUGGAUAAGGCCAUUGACAGAAUUGAAAAAUGAUUUAGGUUAUUCCUAAACCGUUUUAAAAGUUUUAUAAAUGUAAUGAUCUCUCUGUAUAUAUUAUGAAAUUGUAAAUUAAAACAAAAAUAAAUUUAUUUUUUAAUUUUUAUCAAAAUUACCUUUUUUUCCACGUAAUGGGUUUUUCGACAAACGAUCUGGUAAAUAUGAAUUAAGCAAACAUCUGACCAGUCUUGAUAAUUUUUACUGAUAACGUUUUCUUAAUUUCCUUCUAAACACUGAUUUUGUAGAAUAAAGUGACUCUGUUCUCUUGUAAUUUAUCAUUCAAGAAACAGGUGACGUAUUUCCCAUUGACGUGGGUUUCAAGCAUUAUAAAAGCAUUUGUUUUUAACACAUAAUCGAAAAGUUACACCUGCUACAUUUUACUCGAAUUCUUUGUCUUUUGCAAAGUAUUUCUCCAGUAUAAACAAUAUCACUCAUAUUUUUUUCCAGCUAUAGUACGUUUAUAUAUUAACAGGCAGGGUAGGAUAGCAUGACAAAAACAAUAAGAUUUUAUAUAUAACAGUAAAUAACGAUAAAAACUAACGUAAAAGUGUAAUUUGUUUUGAGAGAUACAAGAAAAGGAGAAAAAUGUUUUGCACUUUACUUUGUAUAUAAUCAGGAAAAAGUGAUGGGUCCUAAAUAAUGCGAUUCAACUUUUUAAAGUCUGACGGAGUAAUAAUUACUAGGAUUCUACGGAUAAAAGUGUACCGCAUUGAGUAUUUCAACGGGAUUUAAUGUAUAAAGUAUGUGCAUUGAUGAAAUUUCGUUGGAAAAAUUAUUAAUGUGCAAAAUAACGCAGAAUUACUUUUUAUUGCGCAUUCUGUCUUAUUGUUAUUUUGUAUAAAAUUGAAUUGAAACUUCAUGUUAAAUUAAUUAAUGAGUUAUUGAAAAGUAAUUCUGCGCCUUGAUCUGCACACCUAUACUCAAAUCUUGCAUGCGUCUUUUGAUUCAUGCAAAAUUGGUUUUGUAAAAUCUGUAUUCGUCUGCAUAUUAUCUGUAACGAAAAUAAAAAUUAUGAAUCUUA